rnacentral:rRNA from 1 species
UACGGAGGGUGCAAGCGUUAAUCGGAAUUACUGGGCGUAUAGCGUGCGCAGGCGGUUUGUUAAGUCUGUUGUGAAAUCCCCGAGCUCAACUUGGGAAUUGCAAUGGAUACUGGCAGGCUGGAGUAUGGUAGAGGAAGGUGGAAUUCCCGGUGUAGCAGUGAAAUGCGUAGAGAUCGGGAGGAACACCAGUGGCGAAGGCGGCCUUCUGGACCAAUACUGACGCUCAUGCACGAAAGCGUGGGGAGCAAACAGG